rnacentral:lncRNA from 12 species
AUAAGGCUGUUGACUAUGAUGUCAAUGGGCUGUUGAACCAAUUCCAAGGGGCUCCUCCCUCCAAGGUCAUAAUGAUUAAAACUUUAACAAUUUUCAUUUAUGACAUUUUAUUUCAAGGUGUUUUUUUUGUUGUUGUUACACAUAGACACAAUAAUCCUGUAUGAUCCAUUUAAAAACAUCUCUGAAACAAGAGAGGGAAACUUUAAACAUGCUGAAGUGUUUUUAUGGCAGAAGUAUUUAGCUGGUGUUUCAUAGUGGCACAGAGAGUAGAUUUGAGAUUGAGUUGGGAUCUUGCUUGGUAGUUAUGGAGGAAAGUCAGAAGUGUAAGAGCUUUGAAAUGAUGAGUCAUCCCUGAGCCAAGGUUCAAGAUGAAGCUGUGAGAAUAAGUGACAAACAUUUGAUAAAUAUGAAGAAGACAAAGAAACUCAUUCUGGACUUUAGCCAACCACAAUUUUGGGUGGAGAAUGCACACUGAUUAAAACAUUUCCGUAGACAUUUUCAUCCUGUCCUCUGCUGACCAGCUUGGAAGAUAAAUGUGGAAUUGCUAUUUUCAGGUUAAACCAUUAGGAACUCUAAUACCUCUGGAAAAAAUAGACGUCUUCCAUCAUAAUCUCUGGGGUCAUCAGGCCUUUAAUUGCCUCUGUUUUAAGGAAAAACAAACAAAGAAUACAAAUGAGCUUUUAUAUUUUUUUAUUUUUUAAAGAUUUUAUUUAUUUAUUUUAGAGAGAGAGAGAGAGUGAGCUAGGGGAAGGAGCAGAGGCAGAAGGAGAAGCAGAAGCAGACUUUCUGCUGAGCAAGGAGCCUGAUGUGGGGCUCAAUCCCAGGACUCUGGAAUCAUGACCUGAGCUGAACACAGAUGCUUAAUGGACCAAGCCUUCCUGAUGCCCUACAAAUGCAUUUUUAAAAUAAGAGCAAAAUAUUUAGUAAUCUUUUUUGGAGAAAUGUAUCUACUAAUAGCAAAGUAAAGGAAAACAAAUUUAAAAUUAUUUUAAGCAGGUAUGCACUUUAACUAUUUUUAGGGAAAAAAAUAUCAACAAUGAUAUGAUUUCAUUUUAAAUCUCUAGUAAACUUGUCCCAUACCUUGUUUUAUCUUUAUUACUAUAUUUUAUGAUUUCCACAUUGAAAAG